rnacentral:rRNA from 1 species
GACGAACGCUGGCGGCGUGCUUAACACAUGCAAGUCGAACGGAAAGGCCCUGCUUUUGUGGGGUGCUCGAGUGGCGAACGGGUGAGUAACACGUGAGUAACCUGCCCUUGACUUUGGGAUAACUUCAGGAAACUGGGGCUAAUACCGGAUAGGAGCUCCUGCUGCAUGGUGGGGGUUGGAAAGUUUCGGCGGUUGGGGAUGGACUCGCGGCUUAUCAGCUUGUUGGUGGGGUAGUGGCUUACCAAGGCUUUGACGGGUAGCCGGCCUGAGAGGGUGACCGGCCACAUUGGGACUGAGAUACGGCCCAGACUCCUACGGGAGGCAGGAGGGGGGAAUAUUGCACAAUGGGCGGAAGCCUGAUGCAGCAACGCCGGGUGCGGGAUGACGGCCUUCGGGGUGUAAACCGCUUUCGCCUGUGACGAAGCGUGAGUGACGGUAAUGGGUAAAGAAGCACCGGCUAACUACGUG